GACGUAGGGUGCGAGCGUUGUCCGGAUUUAUUGGGCGUAAAGAGCUCGUAGGCGGCUUGUCGCGUCGACUGUGAAAUCCCGAGGCUCAACUUCGGGCUUGCAGUCGAUACGGGCAGGCUAGAGUUCGGUAGGGGAGACUGGAAUUCCUGGUGUAGCGGUGAAAUGCGCAGAUAUCAGGAGGAACACCGAUGGCGAAGGCAGGUCUCUGGGCCGAUACUGACGCUGAGGAGCGAAAGCGUGGGGAGCGAACAGG
rnacentral:rRNA from 1 species